UCGAUUUCAUACCUCAAAUCACAAGGCAAAGCGCUACCUCUCUUUCUUAGUAUGUGGUCUCUUGAUUUCAUUCUUUUUCUCACUGGGUCCAUAUAAAGAGUUCAUGGCUAGGGCGAGUCAUAUUCUUUUCUCAAGAGAUGAGAACUAAAGAAAAAUAUUUCCCGACUUCCUUAACUCAAAUUUCAUUGAGCCUGGUUUAUUUCCUACUAAAAAGAUGAAAUUCAAUAUUCUUUUCACCCUCCGUUAGGCGCAUAAUAUGGAUUUCUCAAUCUUCUUUGAGCCCUCCGUUAGGCGCAAAGUUCGGUUAAUUACGGAAAGUCCUCCGGACUACUUCUGUUAAUUACGGAUGGUCCUACUUCCAUAUGGAUAGUCCUACGGAUAAAUCCUCCGGACCCUGGACCUUUCUUUGGCCCUGCGGACUCCGGACUCCGGACUGGAAGAUUUCCGCUUUCUUUUUCAAUAGGAGAGGAUCGGGCCCGCUAACCCUAUCAUCGGGGAAGGAGGAAUCGGGUAGCUGAUCGAUCGGAAGAAGUCUUUCUCUUGCAGCUUGACCAAAGGAUCUCUUAUCCAGUAUCCAGAGAUGUGUUGCCGAAGCAAGCGAGAACAAAGUAAGGAAGAGGAAGGAAUAAGGCUGGCUAGCUAGGUCCUAAUCUGAUUAAAGGCUAAGUUGAAUCAAUACCAGAAGUAGACUUAGCAGAAGUUUAUGUGGAAGUGGUUUGUGGAAGCUCUUUCUCUUUGGUAACUGAGAUACCUUCUUUCGUCUUUUAGUGGAAUGAAACUCAUCUGGAGCUUUGAUUUUAGGAGUAUUAAGACCGCUCCGAAGGACUACUAUUUUAGUGGAAUAAGACUCGUCGAUCAUUCUUUCGAUAAUUCUUUGAUUGGGAAUAUUAGUUAAGACUCGUCCGGAGCGCUCCAUAUUAAGCUACGGAGGCCCCAUAAGACAGGGAUAUUCUUUUCUUUGGAUAGUCCUUCGGACUGAUUAAUGGUCUCAUUGAUAAGGACAUAUAGAAUGAAGCGAAGGACUUCUUUAUCCAUUGAAUUUAGCCGACCUCAAUGAGUGAAAAGAAUUAUCUCAGCUCUUUAUUUCUAAAAAGUGGGCAGUCGCUUCGCUUCGCGCCUUGACUCCGGGGGUAGGUUUAGUAUAGUAGGUUUGGAAGGAAAGCCUAUGGUCGAAACCCCAACUCGUCUUAGUCUCGAAUUGACUCUGCCGGAUUAAGUUGCUGGAUUUCUUCUUUCAGUAUCGCCUUAAAUGAUUUAUGGGAUUAAGAUAAGAGGACAUGAUGUCCCCUCGAAAAGAAGGUUGAAUAGUGGCUCGACUGAGUUGUAGAAGGAGAGAGAUCGGGAUAAAAGGUUCAAAGAUUCCUUCUUGCACUCCUUAAGAGUGACGGCUUUUUUCUUUUCCUCUCUAUCUACUUUCAUCCUAUAUAUUAGCCGACUGAUUUAUGGAACUAAAUCUUUCUGGGAGUCCCAUAAAUAAAUAAAUAGGGAUAUAAAGAAGUCCUUCGGUCCUCAAUGAUUCUGGAGGGAUAGGCUUUCUUCCUUCCCCUAUUAGCCCUUUUUAGGUUCCUUAGGCUUUCCUACUUUCUUCAGUGGAUAGUCGGACUCCUCCGCUCCGCCAUAAGAAAAGCCCACUACGCUACGUAGUCUUAUCUUCUUCUUCUUCUUAUUCUACUAAAAUAUCCUAUUAUUAUACAAGAAUCAAACUCCUCCUUCUCCUCAACGAAAGUAUGAAAGGACUCAAAUUCUGAUCGCCAUUCUCUUCUUUGCUCUUCUCGCAAUAUUCUUUGCGCCUGAGAAAGACAGGUUCAAGUGCUCAUUAACGAGAAUGAAAGAAGCUAAAAAUUCAUCUGCUAGAUUUCAGACGGAGUUCAAUCCCAGAAUAUCUAAGAAAAGAAGAAAGGAGUGCAAACGAAAACUAAUGGAUUUCAUAGUCCUUCGGACGGACUACCGCACCUCAAUUCAUGAAAUAUUCUUUGUCAAUAUUCUUUUCACCUCCGGAGCCUCUCUUUUCUUUCUGUCUUCCCCGUCCUCCGGACUAUUCAACCUAUUCCCCGUGAGACUCAGAUUACUAAUUCUCUGUUUGAGACUGGAUCGCAUAUGGUCUGACUCAUUUUAUCGCAAGAUCGAAGACAAUAUCCAUUCUGCCCGCUCCCUUCUGAUUGAUCUCUUGACUGCUGAAAAUCUUCCUUUUCCCCGCUCCGUGGGCUACGCUAUGGGAAGAGUUAGUCCGAGACUUUCCAGUUGAGAUAUUCAAACCUAUCCUUGACUCGUACAGCUUCAUGAAAAUACAAUAUCUAGUACACAAUCACCUUUAUAUUGGCGUCGGCCUAGGCCAGUGAAAAGCCUAUGGUACGAGAGAAAAUGCUUUAGGAAGGGGGGGGGCCCGUGGAUCGGAGCGAAGCAGCUCACUAUAAGAGUUGGGCGCUACAGAGGUUAUGAAAUAACUCGACUGAAAGGAGAGGGGCGAAGAGACUCGACCGUAGGGAGAGGGGCUCCGGUAUCGGUGAAUAUGCUCUCCCGUGCAGGUUAGUUCCCGAGAGUCCGCCUAUAAAUGAACUUUGCUCCGUUUUAGAGUCCUUCGGUUAAUUACGGAUGGUCCUACUUCGGUUAAUUACGGAUGGUCCUACGGAUAAAUCCUCCGGACUACUUCCCUCCAUAUGGAUGGUCCUACGGAUAAAUCCUCCGGACUACGGAUAAAUCCUGCGGACUCCGGACUCCGGACUACUUCGGUUAAUUACGGAUGGUCCUACGGAUAAAUCACCUGGACCUUUCUUUGGCCCUGCGGACUCCGGACUCCGGACUACGGAUAAAUCCUGCGGACGUAGGACUCCGGACGGGUCAAAGAAUUUGAGAAGCUGCGACGGAAAGGAAAUAGUGGAUGGACGAGUCCUCCGGACCGGACGACUAUGAAGAAUAUUUGAAAAAGAAAGAAGAUUUGAGGUGCAAAGAAUAUUGCGGAAAGGAAUCUUCGACAAAUCUCAUUACUACUACUAAUAGAAGAAAAGCCUAAAAUAAGCACAUUUGCAUCCGUCCUCAGUCGCAAAGUUCAUUUCUAGAAGGCUCAAAGGAUAUUGAGCGAAAGGCGCCAUAAGACAGGGAUAUUCUUGGACUCAUUUCAUGGGGAAUUUGGGCAAGACGCCUCUAUCUGAGAGUCGAGCUACUUCAAUCCGUACGUGAUCCUACUUCUUUCAUCAAAUGAAUAGCCCGUAACCAGAAGACCAAGAGCUAUGGAUAAUGCGAGCGAGACGUAAAGAGAUCAUGACUCGAUUCCCAUCUUCUUGCUUUAAUGGGACUAGGGCUCAUUCCACUUAUUAUCUUACCUCCUUCUCAAAUCAAAUUCUUUGAGCAAAAUCAAGCUCCCCUAAUGGAUAGUCCUUCUUCGCAAAUUCUUUGCGCCUGUCUCGCAAUAUUCUUUGCUGCACCUUGCUGACUCAUGAAACUCAUAAUCCUAUCUACAGAGCAUAUGAGAUGAUAAGAAGAUCGGAAACUUCUCUUUCUUCUUCGGCAACGGAUAAUUCAACCUCCACUAACCGCUGAAUACCUCUGUAGCAUCCGAUCCGCGAGACCUCUUCUCCUGCCUGCCGGAUAGCUGCUUCUAACCGCGUAGUGGGCAGGGAAUGCCCACUCCUCCUCUUGUUGGAACCUUUAUUCCGACUAAUAAUUGUAUCUGAGUUCCGAUUCUUCUCUCUCUUUCUUCAAGUUCGGGAUCCGGAACGAUUGAUCGUACUUAUUCAACAGGUAAUUCCCUUUUUCUCCUGAUAAAGAAAGACCCCAUCAUUCCCUUUCCGGCUAGUCCUACUCACAGAAAGACUAUCAAAAACCUCCCUCCUCCGCCGAAAGAUGAGUCUGAUACCCGCAGCUUUCUUUCAUAUUCCUUCUAUGAAGUUGGUCGUAUUCGCCCCUGAUACAGAGAAUACCUGCCUCCAUAAUUACGUAACUAGUCCUAUCACUGAAAGAUCUCAUUUGACUGAUUCCCCGCUCCGUGGUAUCCGCUUGCCCUCGUAAACUCUGGACUGAUGAUCAUUCCUAUCCUACAGAGCUGAACUUUUGGAGUACGAAAGGAAUCCCUCCCAGGUUUCUGCUCGCCAGAAGACGAGAAAGACGAGACCAUGAGGCGAGAUGGUAACUACCUUUUAAGGAGUUCAGGCAGUUGAGAUCAGAAGCUGCUCGAUUCCCUUCCCCUCUCAAGAGUCCGUCCUCACUUUCCCUGCUUUGUUUGAAGGCGAAGUUCUCACCGCCUCAAUGAACAAGGGGUUUUCUAAUAGUCUUGUAAAUCAGAAAAAUCCUAUUAGUAGUUUAGUUGGAGGCAGCUAUCUCUCCCAAGCCUUGUGUAAUUCAAGCCGAAUAUACCGCCCCGUAAUACCGCGUUCAAGCUAAUAGUUUGCGUAGAAUUCUCGAUUAAUAUUCUAUUAGGAGAACUCUCUUCUCAUCUCUUGAGAAAAGAAUAUGACGAGACCUAGCCCUAGCCAUGAACUAUUUCUAUAGACCUAGUGAGAAAAGGAAUGAAAUGACUCGACUAAAGAAAGAGGAAGGAAUGCUCUUGCCUCUGAAUUCCGAAACCUUUCUGCUCUUGAAGUAGAGUUGAGGAUGCUGAUCGAUAGGGAAUGCGCUCGAUCCUCACCCCUCUCCUCUCGCCUGGUUCUCAAUUUCUUACGUAAAUACUUCCGCUGGACACAUUUCCAUAAGAGGUUGAAGAUUCCAUCUCUCACGAUCAGCCCACUACGCGGUAAGAGACUGAGAUACCUUCUUUCUAAAUCGGAAGUUUGAAGCGGGUCUCUCGGGGAGUCGUCGUUGAAAGGGAUGCUGCCUGCGGAAGUUGAAUCCAUUUCAGUUCCUCUACCUUCUUCGGAAGUUCUUGCUGAAGAAGUAUUUAGAUCGCCGCUCUGAGUUAUUAAUGAAAUUAAUUACUAGAAUACGACCCGGAAAGGUAGCGAUCGGAUUGACUCGGUGCGGGUAAGGUCUUGAGUCUUGAAGUGAGAGGAAAAGAGGAAAAGCUUACCGCGUAGUGGGUUGGACGCGCCUCAAGCUCAAACUAAGAAGAAAGAGUCUUUUUAGUCGGGAAUGAGAUGAGAAGGAAGUUAUCUUUGUAUGAGAUCGAUCAUAGGAUCGACCGGGAACAGGAAGACUACGAGGUCUCAGUUUGUUUUCUUAGUCUCAUAGGAAUUCUAUAAAGUAGAUAUUCCGGUAAGACCGCCAUAAAAGAUAGGGGGGAUUUAAUGAGUUGAAAGACGACCAGUGGGAGUCAUCAGACUUCCAACAAUCAGACUCAGAGGUGAGGCGCUCGACCUCUUUCAUUCUCGUAUUAUCUUAUCAUCUAUUAGUAAUAAGAAUCCCCUGCGAGCAUGCCUUCCUUUCGUACCGAUCGUCAUAGACAAAAGAUGGAUUGGGUCCUUAAAUAAAUACGAAGAAAGCAUGAAGUAAGCAAUUUCUUUUCUAGAGUUCUCAUUAUGUGAUAGAAUGAAAUGAGUGAGAUUUCUUUCCGGAAGUACGAAGAAAGCAUGAAUUAAGCAAUGAUAUAGGCCAGCUUAUCGUGCUUAUCUUCCUUCUAAGAGGAGCAUGAAAGUAAUAGCAAAGCUCAAAUACUUUGAUCCUCGAACCUCUUCUAUCUUCUACCGUAAUUCGCCAAUCUCGAUGAAAGAGCAGGUAACUACCCCCCCCUCUUUCUUUACGAUUUACGGGUACUUACUCGUGCACGGAAUCAAAGAAGAGGCAGGCGAAGCAUUUUUGAAAUGAGAUCAGCAAGGUGCAAAGAAUAUUGCGAGACCACUAAAUAGAAGACUUAGCCUCAUUCUUCGGCCUUUAUUUGCGUAAAGAUAGUAUUAAGCAUCGAUUGACAAAGAAAGUACUCCAGUACCCAUUGAAAGUUCAGAAGUCCAGCUCUUUGUCAAUACGAACCAACCCUAGCUUGCUUGCCUUCAACUAGAAACUAUUCUGAUUUAGCUUCCACCUUGAAAGACGGAAAAAAAAGAUAGCUAAAGCAAUUCCAUUCUCAGUCAAGUCUAAUCGUACGAAUCCAUAUUCACCUUUUCUUUGCCGCCUUGAUUUUGCAAUAUUCUUUCUCAAUCUUCUUUGAGCCUUAUAAUUGAACCAGAUCCCCAUUAUUAAGCUACGAAGGCCCCAUAAGACAGGGAUAUUGAUUUCAUGAGUUCAAUAUUCUUUGAACCUUAUUCUUAGGCGAAGGACUGAUUUAUCAAGCUUAACUGAACCUUGUUCUGCGCUCUUUAUUUCUUUUCAAAAAGUGGGCAGUCGCUUCGCGCCGCGUAGUGGGGAACUUCCGCGUAGUGCUUUCUGGAUCGAAAGGUUAUCAGCCGAAAGAGCGAAUUCGCACACUGCUGAAAGGCAUAUUUCAUUGCACCUCAAUUCAACUCAUCUGGAGCUUUGAUUUUAGUCUUUCCUUUUGAGUUUGGGAAUCUACUUUGUCCCGCGUAGUGCUUUCUUUAUUGUCGGGAUGAGGAAGUAGGAAGUGGUAUUUCUACGAAUGAAAUGUGUCUCGCAAAUGCAAACAAGGAUUUCCCAUCAUAAGAAAGUUCACGGAAAGCCCUUGCCCUUAUGACUUCAUAGGCUUCGCUUCGCGCCUUUAUCUUUUUCUUCCUUAUUUUUUUGAGGUCUGCUCUCGCUGUGGUUGAAACCCUUGUUUCAGUAGAUUGAGUUCUUGUCUCCUCCCCGGUGGCUGUUGAAACCAGCUAUUAGAAAGAAGAUAGUUCAUUAUAUCAUAAUAUAUUCCCGUGUAGUGGGAUCCGCGCCUCGGGGAAGUGACCAUACACUUGACCAUAAAGAAGGGCAUUAGAAAGAAAGCUAGAAAAGGAGGAAACUUCAGCAUUACUAGUAAGCCCACGUAGCGGAGUAGUCGAGUCUAAAAAGGGUAGAUUCAUUCAAGGCAUAUUUCAUUGCGCCUCGUCCUUCCGCGCUCCGCUCCUUUUUAGUGGACGCUACUUGAUUAUGGGGGGAUGAGACCCAACUAUAAGACUUCGUCAUAUUGAAUUUCACCUUGCCUCCAGUUCCUUGCCUCCGGGAGUAGGUGAUGAGGUUUCGGACUUCUCCUUUUGACUCCUUUUGAGCUCUUUCUUUAUUCCUUUGAUUUUAGUAGGUUCAAUUCAAUAUUCAUGAAUUCAGGCCUAUCCAUUAGAGAAUUUGACUUGUUUCAAAAACAAAGGCUCCAGAUGAGAGGUGCCAUAAGACAGGGAUAUUCUUGAGUCACUAAAGAGUAUUUUCUUGUAACAAAGGCUCAAAGAAUUUGAGGAUGGAUAGGAAAUCCUGAAAUCAGCCUAUCGUCAGGCCUUGGUGGGAAUAGCUGCAGCUAUUUCUUAAACAAGAACAGCCACUGACGAUUCAACUUCUGCAACUGCUACUGCCACAAGAACGGAUGCCUCUUCUUACAGUCGAUUCGACUAAUCCUCUCUUCGUGCCUAAUCCGAUACCUCCCUCUCCCGGGCAGCUGCUUCUCUCAAUUACUGUGACUGUCGAAAGACCGACUACGUCGAGCUCCCUCUUGCUAUGGGGAGAGCGCCUAUUCCAGUCCAGGAGAUCAUAGAGAGAAUAACCUCUUGGUCCAGCUACUAAUGAGUGCAGUGAACUACUCAUGAAAGAGAGAAGAUGGUGCUAUUCCCGCUACGUGGGGGUCGAGCGAGCUCAUACUCACUUCAUAGGCUUCGCUUUUGCCCUCGUUCCUCAACUGGGGGGAGGGGACCUCAUUCUUAGUCUUUUCCCUUGAACCCGACGAAAGAGGCUUUCUCCUAAGAAAUAAUCAGGGAUGGUGCAUCCUCAACUAAUGCCAAUGGGUCGAGGUCGAGCAUUCGCACCUCACCGAAAGGGCUACAGCUUCUACUCCAACAGCAACGUCUGCAACCGGAACAGCCACUCCAAUCAUUGAUAAGGAUCUUUGAACCUCUCGCAACUUCAGAAAGAGGAGCAAGAAAAGCAAGAGCUUACUCAUCAUCAUCAAAUUUCAUUGAUCCUCCGUCCCCCUUUCUUCUUUCAAAGAUUCCGAUUCAGUGAAUCAAAAGUACUUCUAUUCCGUUUGGGACCACUAUUCUCGCUACCGAAAGAACCCCGUAGACCUAUGAGUUCUAGCAGGAAGGAGGCGCGUCCGUCCCGAGUCCUAAGACUUUUGUCGAGCCGUUCCACUCAUCGGGUAAAUCAGGUCUCUGGCUGAAUAAUAUAGUUGUUGUUCGCGCUUCUUCUCGUAAAGAUGAAAGUGUACUCACCGAGUCAACUCCAACAAAGCCCGACCCUUUUUCAAAGAGUGACUUCGUUAUGACGGACAAAGAUACUCAACUAGGUAUGGACGAUCCGACCCAGCCGGAGGCUGAUUAUCUGACUUUAUCGUCUUCAGAUAUAAGAAGCUAAAUAGAGGUUUAUCAAGUCAAUAUUCUUUGAACCUUCGCAAUAUUCUUUGCGCCUUCGCUCAAUUCACAUCCAUAAAUAAAUAGGGGUUAGGAGCUUUCUGAUCCUUACUCUUUCUUUGCUUUCUCCUAGGCUUUCUUCUUUCUGGGAGUCUUCCUAUAUCUUUUUCUGAUAUAAGGAAUCAAACUCCGCUCUGCUUCUUUGCUUCCAAACCUCAAAAUCAGACGAAAGCACUUAAAGAUUGUACAGUUUAGCUUUGACUCUCAGACUCUUAUUCAUAGCCAUCCAGGAAAGAAAAGCAUGACUAGGGAUGUGCUUCUUACCCCAAAGAAGCUUGAACCAAGGGACAGUAUUACCAGGAAGAUGAAAGAGCUUCACUGUCUUAGCAACUGAAAACUGACCUCUGAGGCCAGAUAGUUCUAUCUUCAGUAACCUUGUCCAAAGUCACAUUACUAACAAUGUCUCUCCAAGCAUUAGACAGCAUCAAUGGCUACAAGAAGCCGAAAUGAUCAUCCUUCCAUACAGCAUUCAGCCUGCAUUUCUUGUUAACAUCAGCAUCUCUGCCGAAUACUGAGACAGAGGGUCAAAGAAUUUGAGAACUCGGAAGACUAAAGCUCAAGCGCGCACUAAGAAGAAAAAGGGUGAGGGCCGACGUUCUAAUGGAUAGGACUGAGGCGCAUCAAAAAAAGGGUUGAAGAUGACCUUGAUUUUUUGGACCCUUAUUUAUUGUUUAUUGAGGCGGUUCAAAUAUCGAGACCAGAGGAAGCAAAGAAGCUGCGAGAGGUUUCGGAAUCUCCGGCUCUUGUCCCAGUGACGUCUGAGGCAGUUGAGUAUUUAGCCGAUAUAGUUCUUUCUUCUCAAAUUCGCCUCUCCUUUCAGUCGAGCCUCAAUGCAAUAUUCUUUGCGCCUUUGAAUCUGCGAUAACAUUGAGAUUUCCCAUCACCGACUGGAAGUCGCUAUUUUCUUUCGUCUUGCUCUUCGAUAAUUCUUUGAGCCUCCUUCUACCUCUUUUACACGGAGCGGGUUGGGAAGGCCUCAAGCAUACCAUCGAAUGCCACCAGUCAACCGAAGGCUGCAAUAGGUCCGAUCGCGCCGGUGCCGAUUCAAUUAUUCACCUGGAGACAAGGCUAAGAACAUCCCGCCGAAUGUGAACAAUUCGAAGAAUGUUUAUGUGAAUGCCCUCAGGACGCAUCCUAUGGUAUGCUUUCUGGCCGCUUUACCUCGUAUUGCUAGCGGUCGUGGGUGGCCCUGCGUCGCUCGUCACGUCCGCUUGUAGUGGUCACACAGGCAGUGCCUUUUUCUAUCCUAAAAGAAGGGUAAACCGAGAAACCCGUAGGCUUUCUGUCUUUUCUUUUUGCCUAUUUUAAGUCAUCGACCGCCUUGAUUUAUGUUUUCUCGCUCGCUUUCUCUGCCCUUCGCUUCCUGAUACCGGAAGGGGUAAAGCGGAAGUUCACUCCUAAGACUUGUAAUCAUCUUGCGUGACGGAGAGCCUUCGUCCUUGUCUUGAAUAUCCAUCCUGGACCGGAUAUCCCCGUGCGUCUCAGCAUUAAGCCUAUGCCUUAAAAGAUCCGGCGGACCCCAUCCUAGGGCAAGGUGAAGCCAGUAUGCUUUUUCCAGCUUUUUGCCCCUUUCGUACUGAGACUGAGGCUUCCGUGAUCCUUUCCUCUCUCCGCACCGAGAUAUAUAUCCAAUCGGGCAAUUCUUCCUUGAGCGAAGGAGUCAGACCUCCUUCGGCCUUAGCCUUUUUUCGGCAUUUUGGCCGAAGUGCAAAGUUAGCGAGCGAGCUUCCCCCACUACGCGGGCAGUCGGAUGUGAACUGCUUGUUCAACGAGAAUACCAGAGUUAGAAGAAUUAACCUUCCCACGCAGCGGUGACGAUGCUGUAGGUUCUUAGUGUACUUAGAUUGCAUGGAUUUUUCUUCUUUCUAUAUUUUAGAUAUACUGCUUGGCUAGCUCAGAACGCUAACGCUAAUUUGGAGAAGAUUUUGCAGGUUUGUGAAACCUUUAAGUAAAAGUAAUUAUCCGACUUCAAGCCUCCGGCAACUCUUAGCUAACCCGAAGAGAAAAGGUAAUUCCCGCUCUCGCAAUAUUCUUUGCGCCUUUAUUUAUCCUUUCUUCUUUUCUUAGAUAAAUGCGCUUCGCUUCGCAAUAUUCUUUGCGCCUUUAUUUAUCCUUUCUUUAUCCGUCCGGAGUGCCAAAGAAAGGUCCAGGGUCCGGAGUCCGCAGGAUUCUUAUCCGGAGGACUAUCCAUAUGGAAGUAGUCCGGAGGAUUUAUCCGUAGGACCAUCCGUAAUUAACCGAAGCAGUCCGGAGUCCGGAGUCCGCAGUGCCAAAGAAAGGUCCAGGGUCCGGAGGAUUUAUCCGUAGGACUAUCCAUUAGAAGCAGGAUUUAUCCGGAGUCCGGAGGAUUUAUCCGUAGGACCAUCCGUAAUUAACCGAAGUAGUCCGGAGGAUUUAUCCGUAGGACCAUCCAUAUGGAGGGAAGGAGGACUAUCCAUAUUCAGGAGCGGAAUCAAGAAUAGACCCGUCAGUAUCCGGACCAUAAACUCAAACUAGAACUGAUCCAUGUGAAUUUCUGGGAUAGGCUUGAUUCUUUCAUUGCGUUUUCCCGGCUUUUUUGCUUCUAAAUAGGACUAAAUCAAAGAUUGAUAUUUAACGAAAAUUGUCUAAAAAUGACGGAUUUUUCAUGAUUUCUUGCUACUUUAUAGGCCCAAAACCUAGCAAAAUCUGGGAUUUCCCUCCGUCUUCAAUCUAGUAUUGAACUCCGUAAAAACAAGGUGAUUCAAUCAGAAUUAUUCUUUCAUUAUCGUUAAUGAGUGAAUUAUUCUUUCAUUCUCGUUAAUGAGCUUCUUUCUUUGCGCCUAACGUCUGCUUUAAAGGGAUCAUGACUUUCGCAUAUUGAAUUGCGCCUCCUCCUUCAGCAUAAUCUAUAAGAAGAUUUGCACCUAUCAUGACUCUUUCGCAAUAUUCUUUGCUCCUAACUACGGGGUCCAGACUCCCUGAUGGAUAGUCCUUCGGACCUGUCUUCUCGCCUUACUAUUUUUCUCAUUCUUCCCGUCCUCUCCUCCACUCUCAGUCGAGCCCAUGGAGAUGCGUAGAAGGAUGAAUUCAAUAUGAGAGAAGAAGAUUUUCGGUUCAUUUUCUGUCUGAACUUUUUUGAUUGCUUUCUUCUUUUUCUCGAGACUAAUUGUACGGAUUCUCAUCUAGAUUUCGUUAGUCUUUAGUUUCCCUAGUUUCUAGUCGGACUAAAAUGAAAAUAGUCCGAGAUCAUUCUUUGAGCCUCUUUCAUUGAUCUAUUUUGAUGCUUCCUUGCCAGCAUCUUUCUUUCUCCCAUGCUUUCCGUUGGUCAACAACCAACCACUGCUCUCUAUAGUUCUUCACUACUCGUACAGGAAGGAUUUCUGUCUGGAGGGAAUUUUCUUGAGAAAAAGAAAGAAUGCCUCAACUGGAUAAAUUGACUUAUUUCACACAAUUCUUCUGGUCAUGCCUUUUCUUCUUGACUUUCUAUAUUCCCAUAUGCAAUGAUGGAGAUGGAGUACUUGGGAUCAGUAGAAUUCUCAAACUACGGAACCAACUGCUUUCACACCGGGGGAAGAACAUACGGAGCAAGGACCCCAACAGUUUGGAAGAUCUUUUGAGAAAAGGUUUUAGCACCGGUGUAUCCUAUAUGUACUCUAGUUUCAAAGAAGUAUCCCAAUGGUGUAAGGCCGUCGACUUAUUGGGAAAAAGGAGGAAAAUCACUUUUCUCUCUUGUUUCGGAGAAAUAAGUGGCUCACGAGGUCUCGAAAGAAAUAUAUUCUAUUUGAUCUCGAAGUCCUCAUAUAGCACUUCUUCCAAUCCUGGAUGGGGGAUCGCUUGUAGGAAUGAAAUAAUGCUAAUCCAUGUUCUACACGGCCAAGGAAGCAUCGUUUUUUAAUCAAGGUCGUUCGGACAAAAUAGAAGUUGCGCUUUCUUGAUUCUUAGUAGAAAGCAUUACAAGAGAGAUCAAUAAGAGAAAAAGCGAAGGAGCAGAGCCAAGUUCGAACUAAUAGGAGCGGAGCCAAGUUCGGAACUAAUGGACGUAGUAGGCUCCCCAUAAAUCAGAGGUUAGGAGCCCCUGUUCAUUGACUUUAGAUAUUAUGUCUGAAAAUAUCCUCUUAUUCACUUUGAAUUUCAGCCUAUCCUUUUUAUUCAAUUCAAACCGCGGAGCUCCUAUUCUUUUCAAAGUAAUAGCCGCACUUUGCACCUCCCGCUCUUCAUUUGCAAAGAUGUCCUUAUCAAUGAGACGACUGAGGCUCAAAGAAGAUUUCGAAAAACAAGGCUCCAACUAACCGUCCGGAGGACUAUCCGUAUGAACCUAGCCUUCGGACCAGUCCGGAGGAUUUAUCCGUAGGACUCUAAAACGGAGGACUAUCCAUUAGAACCAUUAGAAUAGAUCAAAAGAUCGUCUUGACCCAGCCUCCGGCUUCUUAUUCCGCUAUCAAAGUAUUCCACUACUCAAAGUAUUCCACUAAGGAAAUGCGCUUCUCACGCAUAUUUCAUUGCGCCUCUUGAGCUCUCUUCUCUCUGUCUUCCUCUAUUUUCUUCUUAUUCUGAUUCUUCCGAUAAUAGAAAACCUUGAACUCUCUUUAAAGAGGCAGAAAGGUAACUGAAAGACUCAUAAGUGCAGCUGUCAAUAUUCUUUGAACCUUGUUCAUUCAGGCUAGGCUUUCCUCUGAAUUCAAACCUUAUAUUCCCUUUCUCGUUGUUCAUAACUAUUCUAUGUGAAUGAUCCCUUGUUCAUUGAGGCGGUCUUCUAUGUUUACAGGUUUGAAUAGAAAGAGUCAUCCCUUCCCACGUGUAAAGUUUCAUAAAUUAAUGCUGCCUCAACCAUAGGCUUUUCUCAAUUCUAUGUGGCCGCCGGGCGGCGCAGAACGCACUAAUCCGCGACCAACAAGUUUUCCGAAACCAAACUGAAGAGAAUUGUUACUUUCCAAAAAUGCUUGCUGAAAAUCAUAGGCUUUCUCCUUUCAGUUUCUCGUAUUCAGUCUCAGGAUAGGCUUUCUUCAGUAUUUAUUAGGUUCUUGGGAGAAUCCUCGUCCAAGACCCCACGGAGCGGGAGAAUCCUUCGUCUGAAAAAGAAGAGAGCCUACUAAAAUAAAACAGAAGACGUAGAAGUCUGCAAUUGAGAUUCAUUCAAGAAGACGGAGCGGAAUAAAGAGAAGGUAAAGUCAGAAAAAGUGAAAGGAAUAGGAAAGCAGUUAAAGGAAGUUCAAGGCUCCCCGGUUUUCAAAUAUGAUGAACUCAAUUCAUUCAGCCUUAACUCGCAUAUUUCAUUGCGCCUCAUCUAGAGCUUUUGUUUUUGUAGUCGCAAUAAGACAGGUCCGAAGGACAGACGGGUUAAUAUGGAUAGUCAUCUGGUCCCUUUUAUUUUGUUCUUUGCUCCUAACGUUCCCUCAAAUUCUUUGAGCCGUCCGGAGGACCAUCAAAGAAAGGUCCAGGUGAUUUAUCCGUAGGACUAUCCAUUAGAAGUAGGACCAUCCGUAAUUAACCGAAGUAGGACUAUCCAUUUUCAGUCGGACUAUCCAUAUGGAAGGAGGACUUUCCGUAAUUAACCGAACAAAGCUCCUAACUACUAAUGGAAAGGACUGAGGACGUCCGAAGGACUCUAAAGCGGACGGGGGGGAUUUCCGCUUAAAAAGUCUUAUUCCAAUAAUAUCCGCGGGGGUAGAUUCAAUCUUCUUUUCACCUCCGUCUCAUUCCCUAAUGGAUAGUCCUUCGGACCUGUCUUAUGGCGCAGUUCUUCCCUCGCAAUAUUGGGCCUCAGUAGCUUAAUAUUCAGGGGUGGAAAUCUUGUUGAAGACGGAGGUUCAUAUGGAUAGUCCUUCGGACCAGUCUUAUGGCGCAUCUGGACCCCUUAUAAUUGGGCCAUAGAUCUUUGCACCUUGUUUUUCUUCUUUGCGCCUAACGGAGGGGAGGGGAUAGACUUUUGACUUUUUCUUCCUGAUCAUCGACCGCCUUUUUUUUGAUUCUUUUCACCUUGUUCAUUGAUUGCGCUUGCACGAGUAUUCUCAAUAUUCUUUGAACCUCUCCUCUGUCUAUUAGAAUAGCGAAUAGUCCCCAGAUCCAAGGCGAAGGACUAGUCUGAAAUCAACCAUAUUAACCUGUGGAAUCUUUGAUACAUCCACAUUGUUCAAAGAAAGCCUAUCCUCCGUCCUUUUUCAAUAUUCUUCGAUCAUUCUUUUUCAAUAUUCUUUCUCAACAAUAUCCCCCACGGUGCGGUAGUCCGUCCGAAGGACUAUUCAAUCCAUUAGUUUUCGCUUGCACUCCUUUCUUCUUUUCCGCAAUAUUCUUUGCUCCGAUCAUUCAUAGAUUAUGCUGAAGGAGGUCCUCCGGACUAUCCAUAUUAGUGACCGCGGAAGAAAAACAAAGGUCUAUAUGAACUAGUUAGGCGAAGGACAGACAGGUUAAUAAAUAUGGAUAGUCCUUCGGACCUGUGGAAUGUAAAAGAAAGCCUAUCCGUCUCAUUGAUAUUGAUAAGGAACCCUCCUCUUGAGUCUGAAAUCUACCCCUAUUUAUUUAUGGAUUUCAUUGAAGGCGAAGGCGCAAUGAAAUAUGCGUUGACGAGCGCAAAGAACUAAAAAGAAAGGUCCAGAUGACUAUCCAUUAGGGAAAUUAAGGAGCAAAGAUCAUGGCCCACUCCUCCUUCAGCAUAAUCUACGAAGCGCAUUUAUCUAAGAAAAGAAGAAAGGCUCUUUGAAUAUUGAGAAUAUUGCUGGAAGAUUUGCACUGGGGGAUAUUGAUUUGAGAGAAAGAUUAGACAUUGAGCCUCCUUCUACGUCUUUUAGAUAAAAAAGAGAUUUUUCUUCCAUAAGGAUGAAAACGAGUCCUCCCCUUGUUCAUUGAGGUCCGCUCCCUCCUUUUGAGCUUUCUUCUUUAUUAUCCCGCUCCGUCUUCAGCUCCGUGGGCUUCCUUUCAUAUUCAACCGCUACGUGGGAGAUAGAAGAAAAUCAAUGAAGAAGUCAAUGCCCACUACGCGGGGAAGGAGACAAGACUACGUAGCUACUUUCAGUGGAUAGGUCGUCCGGAGGACUUGUUUUUAUCCAUCUGAGGAACUCAAACUUAUGGCCUCCGUAGUCCGCUCCCUCCUUUAUUUUCAAGGUUUCAUAUGAAAGGUUUGAAGUUAGAAGUGAAAGGAAGAAAAAGUCAAUGGAAGUCCUCCGUCUCUCUUCUUUAUGGUCCGGAGCCUUCGAUCAUUCUUUGAGCCUCCAGACCUACUAGAGAAAGCCCCACUCCGCGGAAGAAUCCAGAAAGCUAAGCUUGAUAAAGUCCUCCGCCUAAUUCAAUGGAUCUAAUGGACGCAAUAUUCUUUGCACCUGGACCCAGCCUCCAGCUUCUUAUUCGACGUUAGGAGUAUUAAGACCGAAGGACAGACGGGUCCUCCGGACCUGUCUGUCCUUCUAUAUAUUCUUUGCACCGCUCCGUGGGUCCUUUCCAUUAGUAGUUAGGAGUCUUAAGACCUCAGUCCUAUCCAUAUUAACCCGCGCUAAGUUCCAUUAAGAGAAAAUUCUUUGCUCUCUGCGACUCAAAGUAAUAGUAUUCAACAAUAUCCCUGUCUUAUGGCGCCUCGCAUAAAUACGGCUUCGAUCAUUCUUUGAGCCUCCGUCGCAAGUCAAAUUCUCUAAUGGAUAGGCCUUCUCCUUCGCCUAUAAAUUCCCAUAUUAAGCUACGAAAUAAAGAAAGCACUACGCGGGAAGAACUGAUCAAUGAAAUUUGAUUGAUUGAAUUUCAUCAUAUCAUAUUUGAAAAAGAAAGAAUAUUGAGGUGCAAAGAAUAUAUAGAAGGCGCAAAGAUCUAAAAAGAAAGGUCCAGAUGACUAUCCAUAUUAACCCAGAGAAAGUUCAGUCAGUUUCAGUGGAAUAAAGGGAAAGCCUAUCCAACAACAUUUCAGUGGAAUAGGAGAAAGGAAGUCCUCCGCUCCGUUGGAGUUGAAUUGGUCCUACGGGAAGAAAAUCAAUGAAGAAGUCAAUGCCCACUACGCGGGGUUAAAGUGAAAGAGGAAAGCCACUAAAAACCUCAAAAUAAUACGGAAAGCCUAGCCUUCUACGGCCUCCAAACAAAAAAAGCUUUACUAGACUCAAAUUCUUUGAGCCUCCGGAGCCUCAAAAAUAUAGCUUAAAGGAAGAGGUGCAAAGAAUAUUGCGUGAUUGAUGCCUCCGUCUCUCUGAUUUAUGGUUAUGGUUCUCCUGAACCUACUCCCUACGGCAAGGCAGAAGACUGCCAGAAAGAAGAAAGCCUAGGAGAAGACAACUCCCAGAAAGUUUGAAAGUGGAAUCAAAUAACUAAGAACGAAGAUUUGUUGGGAAGGAAAGCCGUCAUAAGUACUUUCGUCUUAUUUUUAGUCCUCUUUCAUUGAUCUAUUUUGAUGCCAAGAAGAAACUUCAGGAUUACUAUCAAUGAACAAGGGAAGCACUACGCGGAAGUUUCAGUUCCUCAGUCGGAAUAUGGACCUCGCAUAUUGAAUUGCGCCUUCUCUCCUUUCAGUCGAGCCCUCAGUCCUAUCCAUUAGACUGCACCUCGCAAUAUUCUUUGCGCCUGCGCCUGGACCUUUCUUUGACUAGAAACUGAAAGUAGGCUUUCUUCUAAUAGUAGAAUAAGAGGAUAUUUUCAGAGAAGAGAUAAUCAAGAUAAAUAGCUAAGGAUAUUCUUUCUUCCCGUGUAGUGGGCUUACGGAGUGGGUCGCAAAGUGAAUUUCUAGGCGAAGGCUGAAUGAAUUGAGUUGCGGCUAUUACUUUAUUUGGAGCGAAGGUGCAAAGAAUAUUGCGUGGAUGGAUAGGUGCAAAGAAUAUUGCGAGGCUCAAAGAAUCCCACGGAGCGGGAUAGUCCUCCGGACUGUUAAGGCUCAAUGCAAUAUGAGUGAUUCCUAUUCCCGCCUUCUACGCCAUAAAUCAGUCGGAAUAUAGAGGGCUCUAUCCAAGGAAAGCCUAGGGCUCGGUCAAAGCAACGAGAUCUUUUUCUAGUUAGACUUCUAUCAAUGCAAUGAAAGAACCAUCCCUUCCUAUUUUUGAGUCCUGUCAGAUAGAAAGAAAAUGAGACCCCAAAGAGCCCUUCUUUACCACUUUAGCGGGUGGGGGUGAAGGGGGGGUUUACAUACAACCGAGGCAAAGUGGUUUAUGA
rnacentral:lncRNA from 1 species